rnacentral:lncRNA from 1 species
AAUGUUUCUCCCAUACAAGGGCAUUUUACAUCAUAUGAUAUUUAUGUACUUAGGCUAUAUCCUUCUAGAAUUUGGAGUCAUACUCAUGUUUAUUGUAGAGAGAAAUAUAAUUAAGGUAAACUAUUUACCUCAUUUUAAUUAUUUCCUGUUUCCUCCUGCUUCUUGUUAUUAAAAAAAAUUCUGCAACUAAUUUUAAUUUCAUCCUCUGCAAUAUUUUGACAUAUCUGUAGUGGUGUGAGGGGCGAAACUAAGUCAGGAGUGACCACAGAGGAAAAGUGAAAGAAUGAAAGUCUUAGGAUCUAAAGGAAGAGAAGGAGGCAACCAACGUCUCUAGAUGACUUUUUAAAGCCUCCAGGGUUGGGGGCAGGUAGGGCCUGGGAGAGGAUCAACUCAGUUGAUUGAUGCAUUUUAUUCAUGUAAGUUAGUGUUUAUACUGAUCAUAUAUCCCAGAAAACCCCCAAACAUUGACUCUACCAAACAAAUCCACAGAUAGGCAAUGCUGACAUUGUUUUAGAAACUCAAACUCUGAGAUUCUCUUGGUGAUUGUUCAUGGUUGAAAGAAAGCAACUCUAGUUCUAUCCUUCCUGCCCAGAGAGAGAAUCAAGUGAAGGGCACCAGGGUCCCAGCUGAGUCUCCCUUGGAACAUUCUGAAAUGCCUCACCUAGAGCCUUCUGUUUACAUUCGUUUGACCAGAAGGGUGUCUCAUGGCCUCUCUUAUUUCCAAAUGAACUUAGAAAUUGUUGGAGUUCAGCUGGGCACUUUGCAAUCCCAGACCAAAUUAGGGUGCUAUAGUAAGGAAGAAAAAGAGAAUAGAUGUGGAGCAGGCAACUAGAAAUCUUGGCCACUGUAUCUGAAAGAAAGGAAGAUAUUCUAUAUUUAGAAAACAACUGAGGUCUUUUUGUGUCCUUGAUAUAGAAUGGUUAGAGUGAGGAAAAUUGCCUUUGCGCUGGUUUCCCAGCGGAGUUUCGUAGAGAAAUAGGAACUGUUCCCUUCUGCAUGUUAAGCGGCUCUCAGAUAUGUUGUCCAUGUUCACGCACAAUGACUGUGGUCCCUCAGCAGUGCAGUGCUAUUUUUAGCAGUGAACAAGGAAAAAAAAUCUCAUAGAGCAGAGGCUCUAAGGCUGGUUUCCACUUCUGAAAAUUAAUGUCUUAAGUGUAAGGAGCUCAAAAGCUCUACUAAAAUAGAGUGCUUUGGUGUACCAUUUCUGGAAGGUGGGUAAACAUGAGCUCAACUAUACAAACAGGGCCAACGAAGCAGAUUUUCACCUUCAAGAGAAGCCAUGAAUUUUUAUCAUUUGUGUUCCUCUUUCAAUAUGGAGGACAGAGUUGAGCGUUUCCUGUAUAACUCUGAUAAUACCAUUUGUUGUUAAAUGACUAAAAUGAAAAUAGAGUUUAGAACUACUGAUCUGUAAAUGAUAGAUUUUAUUAUAGGACUAUUUCACAUUUAGGAAUAUUGUUCACCUCAAGAUCAGCAGAUUAUCAUGAAACUGUGAUCAGUUGAAAGAAUUAUAUUUACUUAAAUGAGACCCCUUUAAGGUUUCGUGUGGUUUUAUUUAUUUUUUUAUUUUUCAGAUGACUUUUAUAUUUUUUCCCUUAUUGCUGGCUUACAGUGUUCUGUCAAUUUUCUACUAGAUAGCAAAGUGACCCAGUCACAUGUACAUAUACACACUUUUUCUCACAUUAUCCUCCAUCAUGCUCCAUCAAAAGUGACUAGAUAGAGUUCCCAGUGUUAUACAGCAGGAUUUCAUUGCUUAUCCAUUCCAAAGGCAAUAAUUUACAUCUAUUAACCCCAGGUUCCCAGGCCAUCCCAUUCGCCACCCCUUUGGCAACCGCAAGUCUGUGGUUUGAUUUUGUUUAUUUUAAAAAGGGACUUUAAGAAUAUUUCAGAUUUUAAACAAUAACAACACAGUAUUUCGCACUUGGACAAAAUGUUCAGAUUCUUUUAAUUAUGUAAAUUUCACAUGUUAUUAAGGACAGAUUUCAAGGGUAAUUUCAAAAGCAAACAUUUAGUCAAAGCCAGCUAUUAUAAACUGAGAUAAACUAAGCUCAUGGAAUAUUCAUGCCCCCAACCAUAGGAAGUUUACAAUUUUUUGCUGGAGACACACACAUACAACCAAAUUUGGUUUUUAUUUUCCUCUGGCCCACUCCAUUAAUUCAAGAAUGUAGAGCUAAUCAUUGUUGAGGUACGUUGUUCUCCUUGACAUUGGUUCAGUUAUUUACAUUGAAGUGAUUUAUCACAAAGGAAUUCCUUCUCUUUAGUAGAUGUUUUUGUACUUUAAUACAUGGCUUUCUGGUCUUUGUGGAAACCUUAAGAUCACCCUGACAAAAUAUUGAAUAAUUAACCAGUUAGAUAAUGUUGAAAAACUAAUGAGCAAGAAAGUAUUUUUUUUUAAAAGAUUCUACUGUUGAAAAUGUUCUAUCAAAUUCUGGGGCAGAUAUGCAUGUAUUAAAAGCUAAGCCAUAUGUGAAACUUUUCCUGAGAAAGGAAUAAUAUCUUCCUAAGAAGUUUCUAGAUAAUGAACUAUAGUGUAGACUCUUUGGUGUGCAUCAGAGAAGCCUGGUUAGAAAAAGGUCAUAGAGUCUAUAUUUCCAUUUCUAGGACAGAAUUGUCCUAGCAAAUGGUAUGUGAAGGAUGUGAAAUCAGUGUGACUAAUUAACACAUACAUUCCCUAGUUGGGCUCCAAGUACUUUGUUUACUAAAGUGUAAAUAAAUAAAUAGAUAGGCUAAUACAUGCUUUUAUUUUGGACAAAUGACAGCCCUGGAAUGACCGCUUCUGUUUCUCAUUUCUCCUCAACAUAAGGUUGAAGAUCCUGUGAUUCAAGUUGCUGGGAACUUCUACUUUGCUUAAAUCCACUUGUUCUCCUUCCUUUUUUAAAAUACUGAAGUUAAACAUUGGAACAACAAUGGAGCAAUGUCUCUGGGGAUUGAAUUACGUCUAAUUGGGAAGGAGGCACCGCACUCUCUUGUUUUUAGUUCAUAAAGUAAGACAGUCAAUUAGGAGGCAGCCCAUUUGGAGCCAAGUAGCAGGACAGCCUUUUAAGAGGAGAUUCAUUCAAACAAAUAAGAGGAUUUUAAAAAGUAUGUCUUGUAAGAGGCCAUUCUAGGUGGACUGCUGGGUUAUGCCUGUCUUUUCAAGCAGUGGCAGUGUAGUAUUAGGUGGUGAAGGACACUCAUAUCCAUAAAACUAUGGCUUUUGUAAUGCGGAUGAUUAGAGUAGGAAGUCCCAUUCUUCCCCAGGCAUGUUCCCCUAAUAGUGAUUGUCCUGGGUGCUGCUCCUCUGUGUUCUCUUCUAAUCAGUCCCUUCAGCCAAGUAGCAUCAGUCACUCUCUCUAAUGUCAGUGAAUAUGAGGAAGAUUUAGAAUAGACAUCUGUUCUGUUACAUUGACUUCCAAAUACAGUGUAUACCAUGGAUUAUAAAUAUACAGUGGGCAUUACAAAUAUUCUUGCGUCCACUAGAAAUCUCAUUUUCUCUGCAUGGGAAUUUUAAUAUCACACUUACAUUGCUCGUUUUAGGUUGUUUUACUAAAAUAGGUCAUUUUGUGCAAAUUCUCAAAUGUGGACUUUCAUCAGAAACAUAUAUUUCUGUGUUUUCUAGAUGUCAGAGUGGUUGUCUUGAAGUCAUAUUUAGAUCUGAAUUGAAAACCCCUAGAAAAAUAGUGUUGUAGGAUGCUGCUUUGUUAGUUAACAGGAGGAUACCUAGUUAUAGUUUUAAGGAUAGCAAAUUUGUUUACUGCAGACUUGACUUCUGUUGUGCUCACCUUAAUGAGCUUCACAAUAGUGUUCUUUUGGGCUUCAAAUGAUGCAUUAUAAUCCCAUCAGCACCUUUGCCAACCAAUAAAUUAUUAAUAAGGUGAUGAUCAUGCUAAUGAAGCUAUUUUAUUAGAUUUUGAUGGAUUUUAUGGGGAGGCCUUUGAAAUACAUAGAGUAUUUUCUCCCAGGGCAAAUCUAGCUUCAUUGAAAGCCUCCCUGAAAACUCUUCAUUACUCACAAUAUCGCUCGCCUGUUUUCUAAUGACAUGAUAGUCACUUUCACAGAAACAUAAUAGUCUGCAAGUCAAAUGUUUAAUUUGCUGCUGCAGAAGAAUUCACAAUAGAAUUCUCAAUGUGGGGUUAAUUACAUAGUAAUGAAAGAGUAAACCAAUUGGGAAAAUGCUCUGAGUAACAUCGCUCUGUUUUCUCCUGAUAAAGAUGUGCCUGCUUGUUUCGUUUUAUAUUCUGGGAAAUUCCGAACUAAGAGAAAACACUUAAAAGGUAGGUGAACAAACAGUGAAGUUCUUAUCUUUUGUCAACACAGUGAAAAAACAAUGACUGUGUAUAAUUAUUAUAUUAUAAAAGCAACCAUUAAUAAUUAGCAAUGCAUAAAGUAUAAUAUUUUGUCAUAAGCAGGAGAACGUAGUAUAAGUAAUUGAUAAUAUAUUCUAAAGAAAGAAAUUGCUCAUCUGAACAAAACCCAGAAAAAUAAUGGAGUGGUCACUCAAUAUUGUCUCCAUGUUUUGAAUUUCUCAAAGAAUCGUUCGCCCUCACUUUCUGUGACUAGAGUGGCGUAUAAUUAGCUGUGUUAUUUAUUAGCUUUACUCCAUGUAUGUCCCAUACCUCCUUGGGUACUUUACCUAUUCUAUCUUAUUAAACUUCUCAAAAUUUUUAUGAGAAAGGUAGUAUGAUCCCUAUUUUAUUAGGUGAGGAAAAUGACACAUAAAGAGCAUAAAAACCUUUCCUGUGUGAUAGAUUCAAAUUCAGAUCUCUUUCUCGCCAAAGACUGUGUUCUCAUUCAUUAUCCCAUCCUGUCAUCUGUGUCAGUCAUGUAUGUUGACAUUUAUAUCAGAAAAGCGUGAAAGUUCAAAGAGAGAAAUAUUUUCUAUCUGAAUUUGCUUAUCAUCCUGGGUCAACAGCGGCUGGUACAGUGACACUGUGUUAGAUUUACUAUAAAACCAUAGUAAUUAGUAUUGUAUAGGUGCAAGGAUAAACAAACAAAUCAAACUAGCAAAAGAGAGUCUAGAAUUAGACUCACGCAUAUAUGGAUAAUUGAUUUUCAACUAAAGCACAAAUGGGGAAAGGAAAAUUUUGUCAAACUCCGGACCUCAAAAAUUGAAUAUCAGUGUUGGAAAGAAGAGCUUGAUCUUUACCUCAUUCCACAUAAAAACAUUAAUUCUAGAAUUGAUUUUAAUUCUAAUUCUGUAGUUUCUAGAAAAAAAUAUAGGAAACCUUUUCUGGACCUUGGACGAAGCAAAGAUUUCAUAGCCAAGGCCCAAACUGUGUUAGCCAUAAAAAUUACAUUUCAUGGAGUUCCUGUCGUGGCACAGUGGUUAACGAAUCCGACUAGGAACGAUGAGGUUGUGGGUUCGAUCCCUGGCCUUGCUCAGUGGGUUAAGAAUACGGCGGUGCCAUGUGCCAUGAGCUAUGGUGUAGGUCGCAGACGCGGCUCGGAU